rnacentral:rRNA from 1 species
UCAAGCGAAUAAGUGCAUAUGAUGGAUGCCUUGGCGAUCACAGGCGAUGAAGGACGCGGUAGCCUGCGAAAAGCUACGGGGAGCUGGCAAACAAGCUUUGAUCCGUAGAUGUCCGAAUGGGGAAACCCACCGUAGUAAUACGGUAUCCCAUGCUGAAUACAUAGGCAUGUGGAGGCGAACCGAGUGAACUGAACCAUCUCAGUAACUCGAGGAAAAGAAAUCAACCGAGAUUCCGGAAGUAGUGGCGAGCGAAACCGGACCAGCCUGGAUGUUUUAGCGUAGUGAAUAGUCGAAUGGAAUGGAAAGUCCAGCCGUAGCAGGUGAUAGCCCUGUAGGCGAAAUUCAGUACGUGGAACUAAGCAUCGAACAAGUAGGGCGGGACACGUGAAAUCCUGUCUGAAUAUGGGGGGACCAUCCUCCAAGGCUAAAUACUCGUGAUCGACCGAUAGUGAACCAGUACCGUGAGGGAAAGGCGAAAAGAACCCCGGGAGGGGAGUGAAAUAGAUCCUGAAACCGCAUGCUUACAAAAAGUAGGAGCCUCGAAAGGGGUGACUGCGUACCUUUUGUAUAAUGGGUCAGCGACUUACAUUCAGUGGCAAGCUUAACCGAAUAGGGGAGGCGUAGCGAAAGCGAGUCCGAAUAGGGCGAUUCAGUCGCUGGGUGUAGACCCGAAACCAGGCGAUCUAUCCAUGGCCAGGUUGAAGGCACGGUAACACGUGCUGGAGGACCGAACCCACUAAUGUUGAAAAAUUAGGGGAUGAGCUGUGGAUCGGAGUGAAAGGCUAAACAAGCCUGGAGAUAGCUGGUUCUCUCCGAAAACUAUUUAGGUAGUGCCUCGUAUAUUACUGCCGGGGGUAGAGCACUGUUAUGGCUAGGGGGUCACAGCGACUUACCAACCCAUGGCAAACUCCGAAUACCGGCAAGUACAGUACGGGAGACAGAGCACCGGGUGCUAACGUCCGGACUCAAGAGGGAAACAACCCAGACCGCCAGCUAAGGUCCCUAAAAUUGGCUAAGUGGGAAACGAAGUGGGAAGGCAUAGACAGUCAGGAGGUUGGCUUAGAAGCAGCCAUCCUUUAAAGAAAGCGUAAUAGCUCACUGAUCGAGUCGUCCUGCGCGGAAGAUGUAACGGGGCUAAGCCAGUUACCGAAGCUGCGGGUGUGUACUUUUAGUACACGCGGUAGGAGAGCGUUCUGUAAGCCUGCGAAGGUGGCUUGUAAAGGCUGCUGGAGGUAUCAGAAGUGAGAAUGCUGACAUGAGUAGCGAUAAAGGGGGUGAAAAGCCCCCUCGCCGUAAGUCCAAGGUUUCCUGCGCAACGUUCAUCGGCGCAGGGUGAGUCGGCCCCUAAGGCGAGGCAGAGAUGCGUAGCUGAUGGGAAGCGGGUUAAUAUUCCCGCACCGUCGUAGAGUGCGAUGGGGGGACGGAUUGCAGAAUGUUAUCGGGGUGUUGGAUGUCCCCGUUGGCGCAUCAUAGAAGGCACUUAGGCAAAUCCGGGUGCGUAAUUCAAGGGUGUGACUGGAUAGAGCUUCGGCUCUAAACUAACUGGAAGCAGUUCCAAGAAAAGCCUCUAAGCUUCAGCUCUACGAGACCGUACCGCAAACCGACACAGGUGGACGGGAUGAAUAUUCCAAGGCGCUUGAGAGAACUCAGGAGAAGGAACUCGGCAAAUUGAUACCGUAACUUCGGGAGAAGGUAUGCCCUGAUUAGGUGAACUUGUACAAAGGGAGCCGAAAGGGGUUGCAAAAAAUCGGUGGCUGCGACUGUUUAAUAAAAACACAGCACUCUGCAAACACGAAAGUGGACGUAUAGGGUGUGACGCCUGCCCGGUGCCGGAAGGUUAAGUGAUGGGGUGCAAGCUCUUGAUCGAAGCCCCGGUAAACGGCGGCCGUAACUAUAACGGUCCUAAGGUAGCGAAAUUCCUUGUCGGGUAAGUUCCGACCUGCACGAAUGGCGUAACGAUGGCCACACUGUCUCCUCCUGAGACUCAGCGAAGUUGAAAUGUUUGUGAAGAUGCAAUCUCCCCGCGGCUAGACGGAAAGACCCCAUGAACCUUUACUGUAGCUUUGCAUUGGA